rnacentral:rRNA from 1 species
UGAUUUGAGAGGAUGAUCAGCCACAUUGGGACUGAGACACGGCCCAAACUCCUACGGGAGGCAGCAGUGGGGAAUAUUGGACAAUGGAGGAAACUCUGAUCCAGCAAUGCCAUGUGUGUGAAGAAGGCUCUAGGGUUGUAAAGCACUUUAGUUGGGGAGGAAAGCUUAUGAGUUAAUAGCUCAUGAGAAGGACGUUACCCAAAGAAUAAGGACCGGCUAACUCCGUGCCAGCAGCCGCGGUAAUACGGGGGGUCCGAGCGUUAAUCGGAAUUACUGGGCGUAAAGGGUCUGUAGGUGGUUUGUUAAGUCAGAUGUGAAAGCCCAGGGCUCAACCUUGGAACUGCAUUUGAUACUGGCAAACUAGAGUAUGGUAGAGGAAUGGGGAAUUUCUGGUGUAGCGGUGAAAUGCGUAGAGAUCAGAAGGAACACCAAUGGCGAAGGCAACAUUCUGGACCAAUACUGACACUGAGGGACGAAAGCGUGGGGAUCAAACAGGAUUAGAUACCCUGGUAGUCCACGCUGUAAACGAUGAGUACUAGCUGUUGGAUUCGGUGUAAAGGAUCUAGUGGCGUAGCUAACGCGUUAAGUACUCCGCCUGGGGACUACGGCCGCAAGGCUAAAACUCAAAGGAAUUGACGGGGACCCGCACAAGCGGUGGAGCAUGUGGUUUAAUUCGAUGCAACGCGAAGAACCUUACCUGGUCUUGACAUCCUGCGAACUUUCUAGAGAUAGAUUGGUGCCUUCGGGAACGCAGUGACAGGUGCUGCACGGCUGUCGUCAGCUCGUGUUGUGAAAUGUUGGGUUAAGUCCCGCAACGAGCGCAACCCCUAUUGAUAGUUACC